UUUCUACUCCCUCCGUUUGAAAAUACUUGUCAUCAAAAUGGAUAAAAAGAGAUGUAUCCAAAACUAAAAUACGUCUAGAUACAUUUCCUUUUAUCCAUUUUGAUGAUAAGUAUUUCCAGACGGAGGGAGUAUUUG
rnacentral:pre_miRNA from 1 species